AAACUGUCAGUCCUUUCUGAGUGGCAGUAGAUAUAGAAGCAAGAAUGCCAAAUAAUGUAGACAGCUGAAGAGGUUCAUCUCCAAGAGAGAAUACAUAACCAUCAUGAGUUGUUUAUAUGAUAAC
rnacentral:lncRNA from 1 species